rnacentral:rRNA from 1 species
UAGGGAAUCUUCGGCAAUGGGGGGAACCCUGACCGAGCAACGCCGCGUGAGUGAAGAAGGUUUUCGGAUCGUAAAGCUCUGUUGUUAAGGAAGAACGAGUGUGAGAAUGGAAAGUUCAUACUGUGACGGUACUUAACCAGAAAGGGACGGCUAACUACGUGCCAGCAGCCGCGGUAAUACGUAGGUGGCAAGCGUUGUCCGGAUUUAUUGGGCGUAAAGCGAGCGCAGGCGGUCAAUUAAGUCUGAUGUGAAAGCCCCCGGCUCAACCGGGGAGGGUCAUUGGAAACUGGUUGACUUGAGUGCAGAAGAGGAGAGUGGAAUUCCAUGUGUAGCGGUGAAAUGCGUAGAUAUAUGGAGGAACACCAGUGGCGAAGGCGACUCACUGGUCUGUAACUGACGCUGAGGUUCGAAAACGUGGGUAGCAAACAGG